GCACAGGCCACCAGAGCGGGCAAAACAAUAUGGCGGAUGAGUAUUUCUGGCCCUCUCAAAAACCCACGAAAACUGACUACAGAAAAGCCAAGAAUUGUCGAAAAAGAAGUGCUUGAAAAAAAUCAUUCGUGGGAAUGCUAACCACGGAUAUGAACUUGUCUAAUUAUGUGCAAAAGACUGUGUAAAAGCAUGGUUGAAAGUUAUGAAGAGUCAAGUCUUGUGCUCGAGUCAAGGUCAGCUAAAAUGUCAGAGUAAGCCACAAGAUAAAGAUAGAAAAAAACAAAUUAAUUUUAUGGACACCUUCUCCGACAAGUGCUCAUAUGUAUUUGUUCUUGCACUGGCAGACGUAGGUUAAUCUCAGCCAGAGAUUCUGAAAUCAAGCUGAGACACAAGCUGCUGGCUAAGAGGCAUGAACCAGGGCAGGAUGUACAUAUAAGGCAUUGGUAUUUAAUGUAGGUCACCAGAAAAAAACACAUAUAAAGUAACAAAAAGUAAGAUAAUAUUUGAAUGGAAAAAUUGUUCUAAAAAAUGAACCAGAGUUAUAAAAGUAAAAAACAAGUUUUUUUUUUCCAAGUUAGCCUGACAGGUUCUUGUAUAAUGUGUGGUUAGUGACAUUUAGGCUAUUUAGGUUCAUAAAUAGUCUCUUGCUAUUACAAUGACUCAUGGUAAAGUAAUUGAGGUAGUAAGUUAAUCA